rnacentral:rRNA from 1 species
CCUACGGGUGGCAGCAGUGGGGGAUAUUGCACAAUGGGGGGAACCCUGAUGCAGCGACGCCGCGUGGGUGAAGGAGCGUUUCGGUGCGUAAAGCCCUAUCGGCAGGGAAGAAGAUGACGGUAACUUGCCAAGAAGCCCCGGCCAACUACGUUCCAGCAGACGCGGGAAUACGUAGGGGGCAAGCGUUAUCCGGAUUUACUGGGUGUAAAGGGGGGGGAGACGGCAAUGCAAGCCAGGAGUGAAAGCCCGGGGCCCAACCCCGGGACUGCGCUUAGAACUGCAUGGCUGGAGUACAGGAGGGGCAGGCGGAAUUCCUGGUGUAGCGGUGAAAUGCGUAGAUAUUAGGAGGAACACCAGUGGCGAAGGCGGCCUGCUGGACUGUGACUGACGUUGAGGCCCGAAGGCGUGGGGAGCAAACAGGAUUAGAUACCCUUGUAGUC